rnacentral:rRNA from 1 species
GUUGCGUAAGUCGGAUGUGAAAACUCAGGGCUCAACUCUGAGACGCCAUCCGAUACUGCGCUGACUUGAGUCCGGUAGAGGAGUGUGGAAUUCCUGGUGUAGCGGUGAAAUGCGCAGAUAUCAGGAGGAACACCUAGAGCGAAGGCAGCACUCUGGGCCGGUACUGACACUGAGGAAGCGAAAGCGUGGGUAGCAAACAGGAUUAGAUACCCUGGUAGUCCACGCCGUAAACGGUGGGCACUAGGUGUGGGGACUUUCAACGGUCUCUGCGCCGUAGCUAACGCAUUAAGUGCCCCGCCUGGGGAGUACGGCCGCAAGGCUAAAACUCAAAGGAAUUGACGGGGGCCCGCACAAGCGGCGGAGCAUGUUGCUUAAUUCGAGGCAACGCGAAGAACCUUACCUGGGUUUGACAUGUACGGAAAAGCUGCAGAGAUGUAGUGUCCUUCAGGGCCGUACACAGGUGGUGCAUGGUUGUCGUCAGCUCGUGUCGUGAGAUGUUGGGUUAAGUCCCGCAACGAGCGCAACCCUCGUCCUAUAUUGCCAGCAUUUAGUUGGGGACUCGUAGGAGACUGCCGGCGUCAAGUCGGAGGAAGGUGGGGACGACGUCAAAUCAUCAUGCCCCUUAUGUCCAGGGCUGCAAACAUGCUACAAUGGCCGGUACAACGGGCUGCGACACCGCGAGGUGAAGCGAAUCCCUUAAAGCCGGUCCCAGUUCGGAUUGGAGUCUGCAACUCGACUCCAUGAAGCCGGAGUCGC